UUCCCCCCAAAAUCAUAUACAUACCAACACACUAGACUUCCUGUCUUUCCCGUUUUAUAUUCCUUUUUUAGAAAUGAAUGUACUCUUAUUAUUGUAUAGUUUUACAUAUUAUCUAAUACAUUCCUAUAUCAAUAUGUGCUCUUAAUCUUAUUUCUCAACUCAGUCUCACUCCAACAGCAAUCAAAUGCUAGCAAAGAUAGCGAACCUUUACUGUAUUUUUGAACAUAUGUUUUAUAUCUAUCCCACUUUUUCAUAAAUUUUUGUUUUGAAUUGCCUCUCAGGGUAUUUGUUAACUGUGCCAUUUCAGCAAAUUCUUGUAGCUUGUAAUGCCAGUCUGUUAUUGCGGGAGCUUCUUGUUCCUUCCACCCCUUUGCCACCAAAGUCCGAGCUGCAGCCGUUGCAUAUAAGAAUACCUCCCUAAAGGCCUUCGGGAUGUCCUUGCCAACAAUGCUUAACAGAAAUGCCUCUGGUCUUUUUAAAAAAGUUAUUCCAAACAUUUUUUUCAAACUUUGCUACCUCACAGCACACCUUAAUUCUAGAUCAUUUAUGAACAAGUUAAAAAGCACUGGUCCCCAUACUAGUUCAUAGGGGACUCCACUUUUUAUAUCUCUGCAUUGGGAGAACUGUCUAUUUAUUCCUACUCUGUGCUUCUUGUUUCUUAACCAGUUACUGAUCCAUAAGAGGGUCUAAACCCCACUGAAGGUUCCCAGUGUGGCUCUUGGGCUGAAACAGGUUCCCCAGCCAUAGUCUAAAUCAGGCAUAGGCAACCUCGGCCCUCCAGAUGUUUUGGGACUACAACUCCCAUGAUCCCUAGCUAACAGGACCAGUGGUCAGGGAUGAUGGGAAUUGUAUCUGGAGGGCCGAGGUUGCCUAUGCCUGGCCUAGAUUGACUGGCAGUGACUUUCCUGGAUUCCAUUGCUGAACUUACAUUAGUAUUGAGCAAGUGAGUGCAAAUGAUUGAAAUGCUGCUCUAAUUUAUAUAUAUAUAAAACCCAAAUCCCUAUUGAUUCUGGAAGAAAUUACACUGGUGUUACUGAGUACAGCAUUUUAAGUUCUAC